GGUGCAGAUGAUGUUGUAAAGCGAUCAAAGUAUGAAACUGAUGAUUCCAAUCCUAUUACUACUGAUGCACC
ensembl:snoRNA